UCGGCCGUGUGCACGUGCGCGCGGCGGGGCCGGAUGGCUGCGCUCGGCGGCUUCGGGCUCUGGCGGUGGGCGGCGCGCGCGGCGUUGGGGCUUCGGGGCCACUGGUCCGGGAGGGGCUACGCUGCGGGUCCGGCGCAGAGCCCGCCCACCUUUGGGUUCCUGUUGGACAUCGAUGGAGUGCUGGUGCGGGGCCACAGAGUGAUCCCCGCCGCUCUGGAAGCGUUCCGCAGGCUGCUGGACUCCCAGGGGCAGCUGCGGGUGCCUGUGGUCUUUGUCACAAAUGCUGGAAACAUCUUACAACACGGCAAAGCCCAGGAGCUGUCAGCCCUGCUGGGGUUCAAGGUGGAGCCAGACCAGGUUAUUCUCUCCCACAGCCCCAUGAAGCUCUUCUCACAGUACCACAGGAGGCGGAUGCUGGUGUCCGGGCAGGGCCCGCUGGUGGAGAAUGCGCGAGCACUGGGCUUCGAGAAUGUGGUUACUGUGGACGAGCUGCGGGCCGCCUUCCCUGUGCUUGACAUGGUUGAUCUCCAGCGGCGGCCAAAGACCACGCCCCUUCCGCUGAGCGAUUUCCCCGCCAUUGAAGGGGUGCUCCUCCUUGGGGAGCCAGUCCGCUGGGAGACAAGCCUGCAGCUGAUCAUGGAUGUCCUUCUCAGCAAUGGGAACCCAGGGACUGGUUUGGCGACGGCCCCCUAUCCUCAUCUCCCUGUCCUGGCCAGCAACAUGGAUCUCCUUUGGAUGGCUGAAGCCAAGAUGCCCAGGUUUGGCCACGGCACCUUUCUGCUGUGCCUGGAAACCAUUUACCAGAAAGUGACGGGCAAAGAGCUGAGAUAUGAGGGCCUGAUGGGCAAACCCAGCAUCCUCACUUACCAGUACGCAGAGGACCUGAUCAGGCAGCAGGCGGAGAGGCGGGGCUGGGUCGCGCCCAUCCAGAGCCUCUAUGCUGUAGGUGAUAACCCUAUGUCUGAUGUCUACGGUGCCAACCUGUUCCACCAGUACCUGCAGAUGGUGAAGCAUGAUGGGGCACAGGAGCUGGGGGCCGGUGGCCUGUGGAAGCAGCGUCCCUCAGCCACCCAGAGCUGUACCUCCAUCCUGGUGUGCACUGGCGUGUACAGUCCCAAGGUCCCGGUGUCCACAGAGCCUGCGCAGGGGGGAGAAGAGCCUCCCUUCCACGGGCACCGGGACUUCCGCUUCAGUCAGGAGCUCAUGGAGGCGUCCCACAUUGUGCACGACGUGGACGAGGCUGUGCAGCUGGUUUUCCACAAGGAGGGCUGGGCUUUGUAGCGAGGGCUGGGCAGUGGGGGCAAAGGGGCGGGAGGGAGCCUGCAGCCCUAGGGGUCCUGUUGGCUCGCUCUAGCCCAGAUCACUGGGCAUCGAGUCAGGGCCUGCUUACCGUGACACUCUUCCUGCUGGCCCACAGUGUGAUGUUAUUGGUCUCUCGCAAGAAGACAGUGGCUUUUUUUCUGCUGGGCAGUUGCCACAGAAUUGUACCCUGGGUAGCAUUUUGGAUAGAACUUCAGGAUUUUCUGGGCCUCAUUCCUGUCUGCCUCUCCUAGCACUCUGACCUCAGGCCAGUCCCUUUACCUCUGUGCCUCAGUUCCCUCAUCAUUUCAGAAGGGACUUCUGAAAAAAGGGGAGGUGGUGUGGAAUAAUGUGGAAAUUUCUGCAGGGCUUUUGUCUGCAUUGAAGCAACCACUGCGUGCCAGCAAGAAACACUUGAAGACUGCUGGGGCCGUGUGCCAUUCUAGGUGCCACAGCAGUGACGUCAUUGGUGACAACACCUGCCUCGUGGGGUUCACCUCAGUGAUGAUGUGUCCAAAGUCGGUUAGUAAAUGGAGGGGCUGGGCCUAGAGUUGGGACUCCUAACUCCGAGCCCAGCGUUCUCCCCAAGACCUUCCCGACCCCAGCCCGCCACUGUCCUUCCUCCACGCAUUGCUUUAUGCCCCAGAGCAGCUACUGUUGGAGAUACAGGCAAGGGGGGCUCUCCUUGGGCCAGAUGGGUCGAGCUUACCAAAUGGAAUGCCAAGUGAGAGCAGAAGUGAGUUGGAAGACGUGGCUACAUGGGGAGGAACGCUGCCAGAGUCGAGAAUACUUAGCUCCAGUUUGAAGAGAGAGAAUGACAGCAGUUGUGUCUGUUUGCCUCUGUGCCUUUGACGAGCAGUCGUUCUGGCUCUGUGGCUCCUCUCUCCUUUUCUUACUUGUUUGGGUUUCCUAAAGAUACUGCAAGCUAUUCUAGACGGGGUCCAGAGAGCAUGUGUACAGCAACAUUACUUAUGCAAAUCUAUGUUGGAGAGCAGGGCCAGCCUCUCAGUUCCAAUGCCAAUCUUGUUCCUUAGGGGCUUUGUCUAAACCGUGGAACCAAAACUCAAAACCAACUGCUUCGUUUGCUCAACGCCAAACUGAAUGAAGAUGUUUCCUUUUUGUGUUUGUUGGAGCCAAGUGAAUACAAAACGAAAAAGACUUUGUGAGUCAAUUUGAACAGGAAGUGAGCACAUAUUUAUAAUGAAAUUAUUAACCUUGAACAAAACGAUGCCAUCACGUGUUCACAGUGAGCACAUAGAAGCACCUUGGCGUCAGACACAGGGGCACUUCCUCAGUGUGCCCCUUGGUGGCAGCAGCUUCUGGCCUCCUGAGGACACCUUGGGCUCCCAAGGCAGGUGCGGUGAGCAAGCCGGCAAUCAGGACCCCCAGCGGAGCUAGGGUUGCUGUGGCAACCGGAUGCUGCCUGGAGGGCGGAUUUUAAAAUAUCUCAGCUAUAAUAGUUGUUUUUCCCCCAAUCAAUCUGUCACUUCCCCAGUGCUGUGUGGUGCUGCUGAGGCCGGCUGUGCUGGGACGCCUGCUUCUCUGCCUGGGGCUCUUGGCAGCUUUGGGGGUUGGAGGUGGGAGGAUUGUCUCAGGGUGUGAACUGCUGGGAAGCUGACAGAGCUUCAGCUUUUGCUUCCAGGCUCCUCCAGCUCUUGGUUCCCACAGCCUUAUGUCAUUUUCUCUUUUUUGCGAGGCAGAGAGGAGGGGUUUAGCUUGAAACUUCCUCCCCCCCUCCUCCCACUCUGACUUGAGCCUUCUGGCUUACACUCUGCCAGAGCAGCCUUGGCACUCCCGGGACCUCUCUCUGGUGAGGGGAGGGCAUGUCCCUCCUUGUCUGCUUUUCCCCUUGGUCUUUCUAACUUCCUCUUUUGGCUUCGUUUAUUCACUCAUCAAAAGACUGUUGAGCACAUACUAAGCCCCGGGCUAAGACACGAGAAACUGUUUUUGUCCUGGAAGAGGUCAUCACUGUCUUUACCCUGGACUCGGCCCUAUCAGAUUGCAAACAUUUUUAUAAAGUUACAGUAAUUAAGACAGUGUUCCAUUGGCAGAGGGAGGGAUACAAACCAGUGGGACAAGAUAGCACUCAGACACGCAGAUAUGCAAUAUAUGAAAAUGUGGCUUAACAAAAUAAGUAUUUGUUUCUUGUUUGUUUCAUAGUCUGAUGUGGGCUAAGUGGCUUCAUGGCCU